CUUAUGAUUUGGGCUACACACGUGCUACAAUGGACAAUACAAAGGGCAGCGAAACCGCGAGGUCAAGCAAAUCCCAUAAAGUUGUUCUCAGUUCGGAUUGUAGUCUGCAACUCGACUACAUGAAGCUGGAAUCGCUAGUAAUCGUAGAUCAGCAUGCUACGGUGAAUACGUUCCCGGGUCUUGUACACACCGCCCGUCACACCACGAGAGUUUGUAACACCCGAAGCCGGUGGAGUAACCUUUUAGGAGCUAGCCGUCGAAGGUGGGACAAAUGAUUGGGGUGAAGUCGUAACAAGGUAGCCGUAUCGGAAGGUGCGGCUGGAUCACCUCCUUUCUAAGGA
rnacentral:rRNA from 1 species